rnacentral:rRNA from 1 species
UACAGGGGGUGCAAACGUUGCUCGGAGUUACUGGGCGUAAAGAGCGCGCAGGCGGUCGUUCAAGUCGAGUGUGAAAGCCCCCGGCUCAACUGGGGAGGGUCACUCGAUACUGAUCGACUUGAAGGCAGGAGAGGGUAGUGGAAUUCCCGGUGUAGUGGUGAAAUGCGUAGAUAUCGGGAGGAACACCAGUGGCGAAGGCGACUACCUGGCCUGUUCUUGACGCUGAGGCGCGAAAGCUAGGGGAGCAAACGGG